GAUUCGUACUGACUGAAUAUCAGAGGCUACUCCCUUUUCAACCCUUCCUUUUUCUGUGUGGCAGUUGCUGCGUGGCCGUUGCAACCCCUCCUUUUUCUGUGUGGCAGUUGCAACCCCUCCUUUUUCUGCGUGGCAGUUGCAACGCCUCCUUUUUCUCUGUGGCAGUUGCUGCAUGGCAGUCGCAGUCCCUCUUUCUUCUGCGUGGCAGUCGCUGCGUGGCAGCUGCAACCCCUCCUUCUUCUGUGUGGCAGUUGCUGCGUGGCAGUUGCAACCCCUUGUUUUUCUGCGUGGCAGUUUCUGCGUGGUAGUUGCAACCCCUCCUUUUUCUGCGUGGCAGUUGUAAAGGAAAGUACCUCCAACCGGUUCCCUCCUGCAACCAGUCAGACUGAUGGGCGGCCACUACUUCAUUUGCGCAGAAUGAACCAGUGGGAAACCUAUAGAGGGUAUUUAAACCCCAGAAAAUUCUGUAAUCAAUGCUCUUGAGCUGCUUGCUCAAGCCCUUUCCUUCCCCAUGGAGUGUACUUUGUUUAAAUCCCUGCCUUCACUGCCUUGCUUUGUUUGUGUGUUUUGUUCAAUUCUGUUAAAAACGCCAAGAACCUGGACAACUACCCUAAACAGGCAAUAAAAGCACAAACACAUUGUACACAAAAAUAUUUUCCUUCUGUAUAUCUUUAUUCUAGAAGCUUUUUUCUAUUUUUUAUUUAUUUAUUUAUUUUCGCUGUUAAAACUUUUUUUUGUUAAAAAGUAAGACCAAAACACACACGUUAGCCUGGGCCUACACAGGGUCAUUAGGACAUCACUAAGCAACAGGAAUUUUUUCAGAUCCAUUAUAAUCUUAUGGGACCACAGUAUAUAUGCGGUCUGUUGUUGACCAAAAUAUUGUAGUGUGACACAUUAAUGGGGUGAGGAUAUUAUUCUCUAUUAUUAUCUUAUAUAAUUUUUAAAUGCCAUCAGAUAAAACACAGAAGGGAGCACAGAGCUGCCUGGUCCUGCAGCUAUCCUGCAGUGAGGUGGUGCUGCCAACCACUGGAAGCUGAAGUCCAGAGGCUCUAUUCAGUCAAGGGGUGAUGAACUCUCUUUGGGUCUGGAGACAGGCUGGAACUGGGGUGAGAUAUGGUGACCCUGCCGUUUGUGACAACGUGGAUGUAUCUGGAGGACAUUAAGACAAGUGAAAUAAACAAGACACGGAAAGAAAAAUAUAGCACGGUCUCUCUUAUAUGUGGAAUUUAAAAAAUUAACUCUGAAUACUUUAAACUGCCCUGAAAAAUCGAAUCUGUCCAUGGGAGUGCUAGCAUACUGUAUCAGAUUAAAUGAAGCCGUAAGCAUCUUUGACGUACAAAUUACACUUGGAAAGCAAAUGAAACUGGGAAUACUUGCAAGUAAAAUAUGGGAAGUCAAAGAGAUUAAAGGAUGAGAACCAAAAAUUGGUUAUGGCCAGUGUCCUAAGUAAGCCUCAGAAUCGCAUCCUAGAAGCAUCAAGUUCUCGCGUUACCAUAUGGAUCUUAAAAAAAGACUUCCUUAGUUUGAUGUAGUCUGCAGACAUCUCAUCAUCACAAAAACUUGAUAGCACUUACAGCACUAAGAAACUACCUUUGCAGAUUGUAAAAAAAGAUAGAAUCCUAUGUGUGUCUUGAUCACACCUGCGUAUUUCCCCAAGGUUUUACUGCAGGGUUACAGAAUGAAUAAGCAUCUAGUUAUAUUUAAUAAACUGCAUGCCUUAUGGCUGAUUCUAAAGGCACAUGGCUUUGU